rnacentral:rRNA from 1 species
UACAGAGGUCUCAAGCGUUGUUCGGAUUCAUUGGGCGUAAAGGGUGCGUAGGCGGCGCGGUAAGUCGGGUGUGAAAUCUCGGAGCUUAACUCCGAAACUGCAUUCGAUACUGCCGUGCUUGAGGACUGGAGAGGAGACUGGAAUUUACGGUGUAGCGGUGAAAUGCGUAGAUAUUCGCAAGAACACCAGUGGCGAAGGCGGCUCACUGGCCCGGUACUGACGCUGAGGCACGAAAGCGUGGGGAGCAAACAGG